UGGUAUAAGAUCAGCCAGACAGGACUCUGC
rnacentral:piRNA from 1 species